UCUGAGCCAACAUCUGGGUCCUGCCUUCGACACCACCCCAAGGCUUCCUACCUUGCGUGCCUGGAGUCUGCCCCAGGGGCCCUUGUCCUGGGCCAUGGCCCAGAAGGGGGUCCUGGGGCCUGGGCAGCUGGGGGCUGUGGCCAUUCUGCUCUAUCUUGGAUUACUCCGGUCGGGGACAGGUAAGUGAGGACCUCCCUGCGGUGUGGCCCCCCAAGCACGCAUCACAGGUGGCAGCAGUGCAGUCGCCGGUCAGUGGCCCUGGCAGGUCAGCAUCACCUAUGAAGGCGUCCAUGUGUGUGGUGGCUCUCUCGUGUCUGAGCAGUGGGUGCUGUCAGCUGCUCACUGCUUCCCCAGCGAGCACCACAAGGAAGCCUAUGAGGUCAAGCUGGGGGCCCACCAGCUAGACUCCUACUCCGAGGACGCCAAGGUCAGCACCCUGAAGGACAUCAUCCCCCACCCCAGCUACCUCCAGGAGGGCUCCCAGGGCGACAUUGCACUCCUCCAACUCAGCAGACCCAUCACCUUCUCCCGCUACAUCCGGCCCAUCUGCCUCCCUGCAGCCAACGCCUCCUUCCCCAACGGCCUCCACUGCACUGUCACUGGCUGGGGUCAUGUGGCCCCCUCAGCCUCCUGACGCCCAAGCCACUGCAGCAACUCGAGGUGCCUCUGAUCAGUCGUGAGACGUGUAACUGCCUGUACAACAUCGACGCCAAGCCUGAGGAGCCGCACUUUGUCCAAGAGGACAUGGUGUGUGCUGGCUAUGUGGAGGGGGGCAAGGACGCCUGCCAGGGUGACUCUGGGGGCCCACUCUCCUGCCCUGUGGAGGGUCUCUGGUACCUGACGGGCAUUGUGAGCUGGGGAGAUGCCUGUGGGGCCCGCAACAGGCCUGGUGUGUACACUCUGGCCUCCAGCUAUGCCUCCUGGAUCCAAAGCAAGGUGACAGAACUCCAGCCUCGUGUGGUGCCCCAAACCCAGGAGUCCCAGCCCGACAGCAACCUCUGUGGCAGCCACCUGGCCUUCAGCUCUGCCCCAGCCCAGGGCUUGCUGAGGCCCAUCCUUUUCCUGCCUCUGGGCCUGGCUCUGGGCCUCCUCUCCCCAUGGCUCAGCGAGCACUGAGCUGGCCCUACUUCCAGGAUGGAUGCAUCACACUCAAGGACAGGAGCCUGGUCCUUCCCUGAUGGCCUUUGGACCCAGGGCCUGACUUGAGCCACUCCUUCCUUCAGGACUCUGCGGGAGGCUGGGGCCCCAUCUUGAUCUUUGAGCCCAUUCUUCUGGGUGUGCUUUUUGGGACCAUCACUGAGAGUCAGGAGUUUUACUGCCUGUAGCAAUGGCCAGAGCCUCUGGCCCCUCACCCACCAUGGACCAGCCCAUUGGCCGAGCUCCUGGGGAGCUCCUGGGACCCUUGGCUAUGAAAAUGAGCCCUGGCUCCCACCUGUUUCUGGAAGACUGCUCCCGGCCCGCCUGCCCAGACUGAUGAGCACAUCUCUCUGCCCUCUCCCUGUGUUCUGGGCUGGGGCCACCUUUGUGCAGCUUCGAGGACAGGAAAGGCCCCAAUCUUGCCCACUGGCCGCUGAGCGCCCCCGAGCCCUGACUCCUGGACUCCGGAGGACUGAGCCCCCACCGGAACUGGGCUGGCGCUUGGAUCUGGGGUGGGAGUAACAGGGCAGAAAUGAUUAAAAUGUUUG
rnacentral:lncRNA from 1 species